rnacentral:lncRNA from 1 species
AUUACUGCACGUUUUGCUUCGUUGUUCUCUGCUUCCCUUUCUCAAAAACGCCAACAUUAUCUAAGUCAUCCAACUGAAGUUCCCCGUCAGUUUCCAGAGAAAUUGUAUUCUCCCAGGCAAGGCUCAAAAACCACUACUCCUGCCUAAUAAUCUAAUUUUUUUCAAACUUUUAUAUAUUAGUUGUUGCAGUCGAUCCCAAAAACAAAUCUCUGGAUAUUGUCCUCUAUAAACUGUCACCUCUCCAUCACUCAACAAAACUUGGCCGCAUCAUAUCUCCGCUUGCGGCUAUGUUAUCCACAAGCUUCUCCAGAAGGAUCAUUAUUUUUAACCUUCUUAGUCGCUUUCUCCAGCUGCGAUGAAAUAGGAGAGCUAGGUCUCUCCUUGCUCGGUGUUAGGGUGAUACUCACCGUCUCCAUUAAUUUUGAUUCGUCAGACUCUUUGCUUGGGUCUAUUUUUAACUAAAACAUUUUAUUUUUCUAAGGCUAAAAUAGUCUUUCAAACUCAGAUUUUCUCAAAUUAUUCCCAUUUAUGGGAAAUGUAAAAACAAACCCUAUGAUACAUAUGGUUCCUAUAUCUUGAGUAAUAUUCAUAGGAAACCUUUCCAUCAUCCAUUCUGUGUGCAUCUUGCACUACUUCUCGUGGUCUUAGAGAUCAUCUUGCUGCGUUGCAACACUUGUACAUCACAACAUAAAGAUUCCCAGGAGAACCAACUAUUUGAUUGUAUAUUGUUUUCACUGUCUUUAAUCUUUAAUGUUAUAUGCAUCCACGAGGCCAAAACUUUCCAGCAAUAUAUAGAGAUGUGUUACACAACAAUGUCCUACUUGGAGAGCACCUGGGCUGUGUGUGAGAGAAGUUACUAGAGCUUCCAAUGGAAGCUUGGAGCAAUUGCUGGAGAGCAUUAGAAUAUUCAGAUUGGCCAAAUUGAAGAAAUAAUGAGAUCAGGCACCCAACAAUUCAUGUAUUGGUGGAUCUUUCACUUGUUCUUGUUUGGAAGCACUAUUGUUUCCUUAAAUUAGAGUGGGUUUUCCCUAUACUAGC